AAGACUAUACUUUCAGGGAUCAUUUAUAUAGUAUGUGACUAGAGAAGUUUCUCUGAUCAUGUAGAGCACCCGAAGCCAUGAAGAGGAGCCAGAGCUUCCUCUCCUGAGCGUGAAGCCGGUUCUAGGAGUUGCUUCUGCAACUGCCUUUGGCCAUUGAUAGGAUGGUUCUUGCCUUCCUUUGGAAGGGGAAGAGGGAGAGGAUGCAGUCUGAGUGAU